GCUUACGGCAAUCCCGCGCUAGGGGGUUACUCACAGGGUACAUUGUUGCUCAAUCCAACCCUCGGGAAGGUCUGAGACGAGGCUUUUCUAAUUGUCGGAGAGAUGCUCUAGCCGGGCAGCCUUUUCGUAAGGGCGCAGGGGAAUAGAAAGGGUAUCGGUUGGAGCGUCGUUAGUCCCAAGAUGUCCUUUAGGAUUAGGCGGAGACCUCCAUCCGAUUGGAACUGCCUCUGUAGCUUGCUUUUUGAGUAUAAUCUGCGGGUUGUGAUUUGCCUUUAUAGGCUGAUUGCAAAACUCAAUUCAGACUAAUCUGCUGAAAGC
rfam:Daphnia pulex DAPPTscaffold_778_Cont10992, whole genome shotgun sequence.